rnacentral:lncRNA from 1 species
GAUGAAGCAAAAUAAAUUUCUGCAUUGGACUGUCCAAAAAUAAUCUGUUCCAAUGCCAAAGUGCUUUUUGAGGCUGAGCUCCUGACCCAAUCUCAUUUUCAGUGUCUGCAGACCUCUUUCUGCCUCCCCAUGGUGAUCUAGAUUAGAAAAAUGACUCACUAUGUUUCUUUUCCCUUAGAUUUCCUGGUGAAGGUUUGAUCUGGUAUAUUUCCUAAAUCUGUUUGGAAGAAUGAAGAGUUGGUUUGGUGAGCCAUGCACAAUUCCAAAAACUCCAUCUACUUUCGACAGCAUGGUCUCAAGUGUAAUUCCCCUCUGCCUUCCAAUAUGCAGUUUGUCUGGGAACGGGAGAAUAAUUCUAGAUGGAAGUGGGAGGAAAAACAUACAUUGUGUGAGGUAUGUGUAUCUGAUGUUGCCUCUUUGCAUAAGAGCCUAUGUUUUAACUUACCAUGAUUUGUUUUUUUUUUCUUUUUAUUUUGCAUUUUUUCAAAAGUAAUAAUAGGGAAUUGUAAAAAUGCAAAAUUAUUUUAUUUCCAUGUACUUCACAAUUGAACAAAACUAAUGAUGCAAGAGUAUCAGUUUUCAUAUGCACCAGAAUAUUUACAUGCACAAACUAUCAGAAGACUCCAUGUAAAGAACAUGGAAUUAGAAUUAAAGAGCAAAUGUGUUUGUUGUGAAUUUUCCACAAUUCCUUCAAACUAAACCAGAAACCUAAGAAGGAAGUCUCUUUUAUGUGAUAUUUCUUGGUUUUUAUUUCCAAGUUAAAGGCUCAAAUGGAAUUGAGAAAAUUGGAAGACUUUUUUUAAAAAUCCUUUAAAGAAGAGCUAGACAAUAUUUAUCAAAAUUAUCUAGCAGAAUUAUGUUUAUAAUUAAUAUGACAACCAAAUGAGAAAACACAAAUAGUGUUUUUCAGAUGGUAAAAUACUACACGUGAACUGUUGGUGUCACAAUCUUUGGUUAAACCCUUUUCACAUGGAAACUUCUCAAUAGGCUCAUCACCCAAGCCUUAAUCAUGUCAGACACUACAGAGAAAAACUACCUGAUUGGCUUCAUCAUAAUCUCUAUUGACACUUUUCCUCAGAUUCAUUCAAAAUUAUAAAUAUAGAACCCAUAUCAUAAUCAAAUAUUUGGUUUUUUAAUUCUUAUUUCCAUAAAAGAGAAUAAUAUAAAAACUAAGAGAAAAAAACUUCAGCUAAAAAGACUAAGAGAUGUUGAUGAAUAGCAUGAGAUUUAUUCAGUCCAAAAAUGGAAAAGUGUUACGUUUUUAAUAUAUAUGAAUAAUCAAAAUAUAUAUGAGUAAUUACAAUUGUAAUUUGUCCUGAGUAAAACUCAGGACACUUUGGGUGCUGUCUUCUAUGUCUCUUGACAUUGCAAUGAUACCAGUGGACCACUUGAGUUGUCUAUUGAUCAUUGCAUGCAGGUGCACAUGCACACACACAUACACUACACAGAUAAUUAGCCAAGCUUCUUUUCUGGUCAUACAUUUUCAUAUGACUUCCCUCACACAGAUUCUUCUGUGCAUUUUUCACUGGUAAAAUGGUUCAACUUUUUGCAAUAUCCAAUUAAAUUAUUAAAAUGUAUGCGUUCAAAACCAUAACAUGUAUUUUUACUAUCUUCAUAAUUAAAACAAUAAGAUAACUAUAUAUUACCUAUGGCCUUGCACUAUAGGCUAUGGGUUUGCAUAAACUAGAUAUAAUUUUGUAUAACUCCCCCAAAUAUUAUUUUUCCUCAUCCAGGAUUUCCACUGGAAUAUUUCAGAACAUUUCUUGAAUGAAAUUACAUUUAGGUUUCUACACAGAUUAAAGGGUCCUCAAUUCCUAUACAGACAUUGAAGAUGCAUACCAGGUAUAGAAUAGCCUUGUUUUUGCCCCAUAAAAAAUGCAGACAAUACAUAAAGAACUCAAAGUGGCUUAUAAGCAAUUCAUACAAAUCUCUUUCCAUUGAAUCCCAUCUUUCCUCUAGGAUCCUACAUAAUUCCCUAGGAUUUAUAGUUCUCCACUCCCUAUGUGGUUUGAAUUCUUGAAAGAGAAAUCAAUUUAAAAUUGGUAGAUAGCCCCACUUUUGCCAUCUCAGCAAACUAUUCUAAAUCCCAGGAAUCCAUAGCACUGACCUAAAAGUCUGGACUCUCCUUACUACCAGAAGAAGGAAAAAAAAUGGAACUGCUAGAAAGGUAAGAUGCUUUCCAUAAAAUCCAUACCUUCCAAAAUACUAAAAAUAGUGGUAAAAAUCAAAAUCCAAGUAUUUGGGCCCUCUGUGUCAUACUUCAUUUUCUAGAAGCUCUUAUGUAUGUGGGAAUCAUGUAUCCAUUUGUCUCUUCCAAAGAAAUUGAUGUUUUCCAACAUUUCCUCCUUCUCCCUCUAGAACAAGGCUUCUCAAACUUUUUCCACUUCAAACAUUUGCUGAUAAUAAAUCAUAAUUUUUCAACCUUUACAUUCAGUUAUGAGACCCUAUAUGGGGUCACAAACCACACUUUAAGAAGCUAGAAAACAUUUUAUAACUUACAAACAGGAUUCCUAGAGAAGCAAUGAUGAAGCUGGUACUCUACGUAACUUCUUUCUUUUCCUGAAAGCUGAACCCCAUUGUCUUCUCUCUAAGAAAAGAAAUAUAUUCCCAAGAUCACCUAUUCUUUCUCUAGAUGGUUGGGAUUCAAGAGUAUCCAUGAAUAUUUUGCCAUAUGGUUACCUUCUCACAGGAUCAUGUGGUUGAAACAUGCACAAAUAAAUAAUGCAUGAUCCAGUCACUCAGAGUCCAGGAACUCUAGGAAAUAUCACUACAUCUAACUGUCUGGAUUGAAGCUAUCUCUAGAAAUGAAAGGCUUCCAUUUCUGGGGUUGAGAUUGGAGGUAAGGUGGAAAGUAAUCUCUGGGGAACUCUGCUAAAGUAUUGGUGUCCAUCAAGAACUAAAAUAUAUUCUCAUGUCUUUGGUCUCUGUUCUAAAUUCAGUUGUCUCAGAAAAUUACUGCAAGAAGAGGGAUUCUGCCAUGUCCUUUUAUAGACAAAAUACAAAGUGGUGACUCUAAUUCAUAACAGUCUGAACCAUUCAUUUCACCCCCAGUCACUUGACUCAAUCAUUCUUCCAUAGCAAAGCAUUAAUGGGGUGCCAAUAAGAAUCCAUACCUUCCUAGGGACAUACAAAAUUACCCUUCCCCCCAAAAGGGACCCAUAUAAGCUCAUUGAGUUGAUCACUUAACUCUCCUGAUCAGGCUUUCUGUGGGUAAAGUAUAGUCCUUCUUUGAGCUAUAUAGACCAACUUACUGAAAUAUUUUUAGUUCUACCAUCCAAUAGAAGUAAUAAAAAUUAAUCUGUUAGUUCAUAAACAAACAUAGUAGAGGUUAAGCAAUAAUUUUUGAAGGAAAUAUUUUUAUCUAGGCAAAUAUAUAAGAUACCAGAAUGGUUACUGCUUUUCAGAAAACUAGAGGAUUACCAAUUAUAUUCCAUGUGCCUUAUAAGAACAUUAUAGCUUAACAUAGAUUGGAUACCCCAAAUGAAGAAAGAACCAUUGAAAACUAUCUCUUUAGAAUCUGUUUUGAGGAUAUUGCUCCAGAGGGCAAGACUGUGUCUGUAGAUGCAUAGACACUUGUAAAUUACUUCUAGGAAACCCUCUAUACUCUGAGUCUAGUUGAUUACCCCAGAAGUGAUUGUGCUGUUAUCAAAUUGGACAGCAUGAAGAGAAUUUUCCUGUGUUCCUGUAAGAUUGAUAUGAGCAAUGAUUCCAUAACUGCUCAUCACUGGCUAAAUUCCAAUCCUGGAAAACUCCUAGAAAUACCUAUAAAUUGAUCAAUAAACAAAUACCUGUUAGGUCUCUACUAUGUGCAAGGUACUGUGCUUGGGACUGAUUAUACAAAUAUAAUACAUAAAAUAAUAACUUUUCAUAUCUAAGUAGUGCUGUUGGAGAAUGUGAACCUUAUAGUCAGCCUUCGAAACUUACCCUAAGCAAGAAGGCUCCAAAUGAAAUGGUUGUGAACCGAAUUGAGUAACAGGAGUCCAGGAUCCUAUAAUAACCUAACAUGUAUGUGGUUUGCAGGAUGCUGUAUUUAAUUUUUAAGAGCUGAUUGUACUGCUAUUUAGCUGUGCCCCCUUUGAGGGAAGAAUAGACAGGAAAAGGUAAAGAAGAAAGUUCAUGAACAUCAGGGACAUGACCUUUGAAGAAAAAAAUUUUGGAUUAUCUGGCAAGGGAGAGAGAAAGUGAUCUAAGUGGCAGGUAAAUAACUACAAAUCUUUUAGGGGAGCCACUUUGGAUGCCCAUUGAUUUAAGUAUCAUUGGGGAACAAAUACAGAGAUAUAAGUCCUACCCUUCUCAAGAACCACAGUAAACCAAGUAAAUAAACUUAUUUACUUCUGUUUUCACUAGAGAGUUAUGACUUCCAUAAUCAAGAGUUCAAAUUUACUUAGCAGGAAAUCUUUUAAAGGAUAUACUAUUAUACAUUGGACAUAUGCUUUUUUAAAAAAGGGAAAUACUUGGAAACAUUUAGUCAUUUUAUUAUACAUCCAUACACACACACACACAUAUAUAUUAUAUACACAUACAUAUUUUAGUACAUAUGUGUAUAUGUGUAUUUAUGUACAUAUAUAUAUAUAUAUGUAAUAUAUACCAUUACUUAGGAUUUUUUGUUGUAAAAAGAGGAAGCUUUUUCCUGAAUCCACCAUAAAUGAUUUUGCACAACCUGUGAAUCUAAUUUUCAUCUGCACGUCCAACACCUAAAAAUCAUUUGCCUCUUCUAAUUGAAUGCUUUUCUCUUUAAAGUCAGUUCCUUGUGACCUUUAAAUUCAGUUAGAAAAGUUAAUCCUUUGGUUAAUCUGGACCAAUUGGUUUCUGUUACACAAUUCAGUGACAAACCAUUAUUUCCAGCCUAGCUUUUAAUUGGUUGGAAUGUUCUUGCCAGGGAGAUCCAGUAGCUGUCAAAUAUGCCUGCUAGCCAGUGUGUGUUUCCUGGACAGAUUCCAGAUCAUUAAAGCAACAUCUUCCUGUUCAAACUGGGGAUGUUUAUCAUGAACCCAAAUCCUGAUGUCCUAUCCUGCUCUUAUUUAAUUAAGGCCUAAGGAAUGUUACAGGGAGCCUGGCUACAGAUCAUAGACAACUUGACUUUUGAAAAAGAAAAAAAAUGUUGAAUGCAAUUUUUAAGUCAUUAGGUGAAAUUGCCAAACAAAUCACAACUUAUUAGUGAUACUAAAAAUGUUUCUCUUAGAUAUUCUAUUUUUUCCCUGGAUUUGAAUUUCACCAACUCAUAGAACCAAAGAGCCCCAAAGCCACAAUUAUACCAUCAAGUUUCAGUAACAGU